rnacentral:tRNA from 1 species
GGAAAAGUAAGCUAAUAAAGCUAUUAGGUUCAUACCCUAAUGAUAAAAUAAAAUUUCUUUUCUU